rnacentral:rRNA from 1 species
AUUGAACGCUGGCGGCAGGCUUAACACAUGCAAGUCGAACGAGUGGCGGACGGGUGAGUAAUGCUUGGGAAUCUAGCUUAUGGAGGGGGAUAACUAUGGGAAACUGUAGCUAAUACCGCGUACCAUAGGAUGAGCCCACGUGGGAUUAGGUAGUUGGUGAGGUAAAGGCUCACCAAGCCGACGAUCUCUAGCUGGUCUGAGAGGAUGACCAGGCACACUGGGACUGGGACACGGCCCAGACUCCGACGGGAGGCAGCAGUGGGGAAUAUUGCGCAAUGGGGGCAACCUGACGCAGCCAUGCCGCGUGAAUGAAGAAGGCCUUCGGGUUGUAAAGUUCUUUCGCUAUCGAACGGGUAGGUGGAGAAGAAGCGCCGGCUAACUACGUGCCAGCAGCCGCGGUAAUAC